UACGUAGGUGACAAGCGUUGUCCGGAUUUACUGGGCGUAAGGAGCGCGCAGGCGGUCGUUCAAGUCGAGUGUGAAAGCCCCCGGCUCAACUGGGGAGGGUCAUUCGAUACUGAUCGACUCGAAGGCAGGAGAGGGAAGUGGAAUUCCCGGUGUAGAGGUGAAAUGCGUAGAUAUCGGGAGGAACACCAGUGGCGAAGGCGACUUCCUGGCCUGUUCUUGACGCUGAGGCGCGAAAGCUAGGGGAGCAAACGGG
rnacentral:rRNA from 1 species